AGCUGCAGAUCAGUGAAGGAAGAGUAAGGUGUAAAGGAAUGUUAGCAAAUAUAAAAAAUUACCCUAGGUGGACCCUCGAGUGAGGAAGAAGAAAGCAUCAACAUUAACAUCAUAUUCCUCCCAGUGAAGGACUCCAGAUGCUGAUGACUCGCCAUAACCCACCACCACCACCGCCACCAGAGUGAAACUAUCAAGCUCAGGACCCAAAGGAGCUGUGGAAGGGUCAGCAUAACACUGGGAUAGAAGCUAAAAAGUGAAAAUCCAGAGAGGUGUCAUACUGCUAAAAGAAGAAUACUGGGAAGAGGGAAAAAGUUUAACAAGAUCAAGAGGAUAUGCUUCUACUGGAAAACUCCGUCCUAGUUUGACUGAGACUGAUCAUUUUUACCCCUUUAGUUGUGUGUGUGCAUAAGUGCUGGUGACUAAAUGUAUCCCUGAGACAGAGCUCACUUCUUGCAACCUGGUGAAAGUCCCUCCUGCCAACUCGGAGCCAUUUCACUACUCAUACAAGAAGCUUGCACUGCCAC
rnacentral:lncRNA from 1 species